rnacentral:rRNA from 1 species
UACAGAGGUCCCAAGCGUUGUUCGGAUUCACUGGGCGUAAAGGGUGCGUAGGCGGCCAGGUAGGUCUGCUGUGAAAACUCGAGGCUUAACCUCGAGAUGUCGGCGGAAACCAUCUGGCUAGAGUCCGGAAGAGGAGAGUGGAAUUCCUGGUGUAGCGGUGAAAUGCGCAGAUAUCAGGAAGAACACCCGUGGCGAAGGCGGCUCUCUGGGACGGUACUGACGCUGAGACGCGAAAGCGUGGGGAGCGAACAGG